rnacentral:rRNA from 1 species
UGUUGUCAGGGAAGAACAAGUGCCGUGCGAAUAGAGCGGCACCUUGACGGUACCUGACGAGGAAGCCCCGGCUAACUACGUGCCAGCAGCCGCGGUAAUACGUAGGGGGCAAGCGUUGUCCGGAAUUAUUGGGCGUAAAGCGCGCGCAGGCGGUUUCUUAAGUCUGAUGUGAAAGCCCACGGCUCAACCGUGGAGGGUCAUUGGAAACUGGGGAACUUGAGUACAGAAGAGGAGAGUGGAAUUCCACGUGUAGCGGUGAAAUGCGUAGAUAUGUGGAGGAACACCAGUGGCGAAGGCGACUCUCUGGUCUGUAACUGACGCUGAGGCGCGAAAGCGUGGGGAGCAAACAGGAUUAGAUACCCUGGUAGUCCACGCCGUAAACGAUGAGUGCUAGGUGUUAGGGGGCUUCCACCCCUUAGUGCUGAAGUUAACGCAUUAAGCACUCCGCCUGGGGAGUACGGCCGCAAGGCUGAAACUCA